AUGGCCUUGAGAAAGAAUUCGUGGAAAACUAAAAAGAAGCAUUUAGAUCACUCUUGUCAAUGAGAUGGGGGCUAAGAUCUUGUAGGAAAACAACUACCAAGGUUCUUUUCCAUCUGUCCACAACUCUCCAGUGCUACCCAGGUGAGUGGAUGGCAUCACUCAGAAGUAGAAUCUGUUCAUAUUGGACUAAGGAAAACAUCAUGGCGAAUGAGUAAAAAAUAAAAUGAACCUAGGAGGUGCCAUUAGGAAGGAAUAUGCAAAGCGAUGCAAGAGGACACAGGCACAAAUGGGAGCUGCAGAAUGAUUUGCACUCUUCCAACUGGAGAGCUA
rnacentral:lncRNA from 1 species